AUAUCUCUCUGUACGGGAAGGAUGAGAAGCUUCUACCAGGGUUCGAUUCGAGCGCAGCGAGAAAGCGUUGCCGCAGGCAACGACCCGAAGG
rnacentral:sRNA from 3 species